rnacentral:ncRNA from 1 species
CAGACUGUGUUGCUACGCAGCGUCUAAUAGCAAUAUUAGAUGGAAAAGUGGGUGAAUUCAGGGAAGUCCUUAGAUUUUGAGGAUAAUCCUGAGCCAAGCCCCGACGUUACAUCGGAGAAGGUGCAGAGACUAAGCGCCCACCAUCCUCGCAUACUUUUGAGGAUGAUGAGAUAGUCCAAGCCUUAAGGUAACUUAAGG